GCGCCACGGGGAUACCCAGACUCGGAGACAGGGAGAGACCGAGAGGAGGAGAAAAUCUGAACGGUUUUCUGUGAAGAAUGUCUUCGAGACUAAGUGAGAAAGAAGAUUUGAAAACAAAAGAUUCUCAUUCAGAGACAUAUGUGCCAAAUGGUCGGUUGGAAAUUGAUGUCCGAUCCAAGAGUUGUGAUUUAUCUUCUUCAGGGGAUUCAACUACAUCUCUCCUCUCUGCUAUUUAUCAUGACAGUUAUGAAAGUGAAGACGAGGAAAAUGAGUCUCCAAACAAGCAGGCAAACAGACUUUCAAGCAGAAAUACAGAGUCUACUUCGAGCAGCUGGAAAGACAGCGCUUCAAAAGAGCCAGUUGUUUCUACACCACAUGGACAAAAAAACUCCAGAGACGACAAAUGGUUGAAAACAGAAAAACUGCACAGGAGCUGUAAUUUGGCGUUUUUGAGAGAUUCCACCACUUCGCUGCUCUCUCCUAUUUACCAUGACAGUUAUGAAAGUGAGGAAGGGCAUAUUGAGGCCCCCAUGACACCUGCAAGUAGAACUACAAAUAAAGGAUUGAUAUCUACUGCAAACAAACAGAAAAGCAUUGUGUCAAAGAGACCAACAACGUUUACUGCAGUCAGACCAAAAUCUUCCAGAUUUAAAGUUUCAUUAAGUAAAGAAAAGUUCAGUGAAGAGGAAGAGCAACAUUAUAAGGAAGCUGAUCUUACUGCUUGGGAGAAGUGGCUUAUCAAGAAAGCUAAGGAAGAACGUGCCAAAACACAGAACCAAUCUCAACAGGAGAUUAUAUUAAAACAAGCAAAGUUAAAAGAAGAAGACGAACGUGAAAGGAAGAGGAUUCUUGCAGAAGAUGAGCAUAAACGUUGGGUGCAAAGAAAAAAUGAAAAGGAAAGGAUUGAAAAAGAAAUAAAGCUUCGCAAGGAGCAGGAGGAAAAAAUAGCCAAAGAACAAGAAAGAGGACUCGCAGCAAGAAAAGCAAGUGAAAAAUUUGAAGAAUGGCUUAAGAAAAAGAAGUUGCAAAAAGUGGAGACUAAAAGGAUAGAAAAGAAUGAAGAAGAAAAAAGAAUAGCUGAAACACAAGAAAGGAAGGAAAAGGCAGAAAAGGUUUACCAAGAGUGGUUGGAAAAGGUCAAAAACAGGCCUCGGACUGUCCCAAGCAGUUUCGGUUAUGCUAAUGGUAAACUCACAGCCUUCAGAUUCACGCUAUCUCCAAGUUCCACUCCGCUGUCUGAAUUCUGGAACAGGGACUACACCCACCAGGCCCCAGACUGCCCAGUAGAGCUGUCCCCUGGCCGCACUACAGUUACUGACUGGUAGCUUUGCCUGAGGAGUGCUACUAUCCUCAGGGACUGGACAGAGUCAGUCUACAAGGUGCUGCUACUUUUGAGCUCAGCAGCACAACCCUUGCACUGGCCUGCAGAGCACUGACCAUGACCGGGUUCACUAGUACACCCUUUCCUCACCAGCUAGAAGGCAGGGCCCCCACGGCAGAGUGCGGCUUACAUCUGGCAGAACAGUGCAGGAGGACUGCUGAACCUCAUCAGACCAGUGAUGCCAUGAUCCUCUGCCCCAGAGCUCCAAAGGUACAACCACAAUCUUUUAAUUUGUUUUCUGCUGAGAAGCUCCUACGGAACCUAAUUACAGUUUUAACAUUGAUUCCUAUCAAUGCUUCAAAUUAAGUCUUUUCACUUAGAAGUUACAAUUUUGAGAACGCAUACCUACCUUGAAGUGAGGCCAUCUGUACCUAAAUAAAUUAAAUGUUAUCAUGCAAACAUUGUCCUCCAUUUGAAAUUGUAGUUGCACAUACAAAAUUCAAACCAAAGUAUGGUAUGUAAAAGUAUUAGCACUGAAGAAAUCUAUAAAAUGUGAACUGCUGUGUUCAGAGUUUGUUAUUUCAAAUGUUUUCCCUGUUUUGAAAAUGUUUUCUCAUUUGAUAACAUUAAAAAUUAAAUACGACAGUUUAGAAUCUGGAAGAUGCUUGUGUCAUGUUGAAAGGUUAUGAUGACUUGCGACAUUUGUGAGUGAACGUAAUAGAGUUUGAGUGUUUUAACCUUGAGAUACGUUAUUGCCUUGCAACACAUUUUCAUGUGUGUUAUCUACAUGACAAGUGGAAAUAUAGACAAUUAUUUCCUUUGUGUGGCUAUGCUCAUGGGAGUCUGACAGUCAGAAACAGUCAGUUGGAUCUUGUCUGUAUUCAACAGAAGAGUAAUAUUGAAAGUUGAUUGAUCUGCGACUGUGAAGGAAUUCCAUGUCUUUUGUAAAAAUUAUUAUUCUUCAUAUGCCCGUUUAUUAUUACCCUUAAACCUGAUUGAUAGUGUGGUGUUUUGCAGAAUAUUGUGUAAGAAUGAACUCUUAGGUUAAUUGCGUGAUCUGGAGCAUGCCAUUGGAUAUAGUAUCUUAAUAUUUAUUUCAAAAGGCAACCUGCAUGGAGAUUUAUGUGAUCAGAUUGCUAAACAUCAAUUUAAUCCAGUGAGAAAAAUAAGUACUUUCUGGGGAUUCAGCUAUUAAGCUUCACGGCUCCUCAACAGCACAAAAAUAACCUUCCUUUUUUUGAUCUUUCUUGACUUCAAGCUUCUCCAGCGUAUCACAUUUCAGACAGUUGCCUGUAGGACAGUGGGAUAUGUGCACAUAACUUACAGAAAAACAUUGCAGAGAUUGCAGGAUCUGUUCUUCCUGUGUGCCAUCCUGCUGCUGAUGCUGGAUCAGCAGUUUUUGUCUCGCAGCUGGUUUUGAUUGCCCAUUGCUGGUUGCUGUUGUGCUGUGUGGAAGUUACUAUGAUGGAUGUUCAUAUCCAGCACCAACUUACUGCAAUCCAAUUCCAUGGAAGCCUAUUCCUGUGCCACACACUGAAGACACCAUGAAAAAAAGAACUUGCAAGAUGAAAG